GAUGAACGCUAGCGGCAGGCUUAACACAUGCAAGUCGAGGGGUAGAGGAAGCUUGCUUCCUUGAGACCGGCGCACGGGUGCGUAACGCGUAUACAAUCUACCUUUUACAGAGGGAUAGCCCCAGAGAAAUUUGGAUUAAUACCUCAUAGUAUUUUCGGAUCGCAUGAUUUGAUAACUAAAGUUCCAACGGUAUAAGAUGAGCAUGCGUCCCAUUAGUUAGUUGGUAAGGUAACGGCUUACCAAGACAAUGAUGGGUAGGGUCCUGAGAGGGAGAUCCCCCACACUGGUACUGAGACACGGACCAGACUCCUACGGGAGGCAGCAGCGAGAGUAUUGGACAAUGGGCGCAAGCCUGAUCCAGCCCAUGCCCGCGU
rnacentral:rRNA from 1 species